rnacentral:rRNA from 1 species
CUACGGGGGGCUGCAGUGAGGAAUAUUGGACAAUGGUCGAAAGACUGAUCCAGCCAUGCCGCGUGCAGGAUGAAUGCCCUAUGGGUUGUAAACUGCUUUUAUACGGGAAGAACACCACCCACGUGUGGGUGACUGACGGUACCGUAAGAAUAAGGACCGGCUAACUCCGUGCCAGCAGCCGCGGUAAUACGGAGGGUCCAAGCGUUAUCCGGAAUCAUUGGGCUUAAAGGGUCCGUAGGCGGGCUAUUAAGUCAGAGGUGACAGUUUGCAGCUCAACUGUAAAAUUGCCUUUGAUACUGGUAGUCUUGAGUUAUAGUGAAGUGGUUAGAAUAUGUGGUGUAGCGGUGAAAUGCAUAGAUAUCAUAUAGAAUACCAAUUGCGAAGGCAGAUCACUAGCUAUAUACUGACGCUGAUGGACGAAAGCGUGGGGCGCGAACGGGAUUAGAUACCCGCGUAGUC